ACGCUGGCGGCAGGCCUAACACAUGCAAGUCGAGCGGCAGCACGGGUACUUGUAUCUGGUGGCGAGCGGCGGACGGGUGAGUAAUGCCUAGGAAUCUGCCGGGUAGUGGGGGAUAACGCUCGGAAACGGACGCUAAUACCGCAUACGUCCUACGGGAGAAAGCAGGGGACCUUCGGGCCUUGCGCCAUCAGAUGAGCCUAGGUCGGAUUAGCUAGUUGGUGGGGUAAUGGCUCACCAAGGCGACGAUCCGUAACUGGUCUGAGAGGAUGAUCAGUCACACUGGAACUGAGACACGGUCCAGGCUCCUACGGGAGGCAGCAGUGGGGAAUAUUGGACAAUGGGCGAAAGCCUGAUCCAGCCAUGCCGCGUGUGUGAAGAAGGUCUUCGGAUUGUAAAGCACUUUAAGUUGGGAGGAAGGGCAGUUACCUAAUACGUAUCUGUUUUGACGUUACCGACAGAAUAAGCACCGGCUAACUCUGUGCCAGCAGCCGCGGUAAUACAGAGGGUGCAAGCGUUAAUCGGAAUUACUGGGCGUAAAGCGCGCGUAGGUGGUUUGUUAAGUUGAAUGUGAAAUCCCCGGGCUCAACCUGGGAACUGCAUGCAAAACUGGCAAGCUAGAGUAUGGUAGAGGGUGGUGGAAUUUCCUGUGUAGCGGUGAAAUGCGUAGAUAUAGGAAGGAACACCAGUGGCGAAGGCGACCACCUGGACCGAUACUGACACUGAGGUGCGAAAGCGUGGGGAGCAAACAG
rnacentral:rRNA from 1 species